rnacentral:lncRNA from 1 species
UGAAAUAAAAAGAUACUAAAAAGUAAACCUACACUAAUCCUAAACUAUGCUCCAAUGCUUUACCCGAUGCGCCAGACCUUCAUCGUGAACGUCCUUCGAGUACAAAAUACCUCAGGGCAUUCCCUGGUGAAUAAGUACAUAAGACAUCGGGGCAUUCCCUAGUAAAAUGAAUACAUUUUCUCAAAUUUGUGUGUUAAAAUAGAAAGAACCAUUCAACAAAUAUUCACACAUUCAACAAAUCACCAUCUUCCAUUUCUACAAUUUGCCUAUCCGACUUAGCAUGUGCCUACCCCGCUUGACCUAUCAUAGCACUAUCACAAUCAACUACGUCAAUGAAUCAAAACAACAAUAUUCACUUUAUCAACUUUCAAUCCCCGUCCCAUUUAACUAAUUUUAAUUGUUAAUGAGAUAUUAUUUCAUCACACAACCCAUAAUCAAUCCAUAAUCAAGGAAAUCAAACACUGAAUCAAAACAACCAAUAAUUCACAUCAUCAAAGAACAACCAAUCAAUUCGAUGUAUCGAAUAUAACAAACAACAAAAUAAAAGAAAGAAGAAAUAGAAUUGGACCUCAAUUCGAAGAUCUUGAAAUUCAAUAAUACUUCAAUAAAAGGACAGAAUCGGCGAUGAAGAACCUCGAUUCGGAGCCUCUAUUCGAACCCCAGCUCCGGUAUGCAUUUUUUUUUAAUUUUCUAUUGACCCAAAACAGAAAUCGCCAAAAAUAGACAAACCCGAACCCGAUUUUGUGCAACUCGACCCUGUUUCACUCUUUUCCAGCAGAAUUCACAAGAAUCGAAGUAGGGUUCACCGUUCCCGAUUCACAGGAGCUCCGAUGAGCUCAAGCGAUGGCAGAGAGACUCGGGUUAGGUUGGAUUUUGAUCGAAUUUUGGGGUGUUUCUCACUGGUCCCAUUAUUUCGGCUAGAACAAUGGAGGACGAGAGUGAGGGUGUGAUUUUUCCAGCCAGCGUCACGUUUUUCGAUUAGUUUUCUUUCUUCGAUGUUUGCGUUCACUCUCUCCCUCGUCUGUUUUUCUCAAUUUCGAUCAGCUCCCUCCCAUUUUUCUACUAAUUCUCUCAUUUUUCCUAUCUCUCUUGGUCCCUCACUGUGUCCUUCCCUUUAGCUGUGUGUAUAUGUGCGUCGAUGGGUAUGGAUGAAAAUGAAGGAUUAUUAGAAUGAAAGAAAUGGAGAAUCUCAGAUCUGUGUUACUGUUAUGUGCGUUAAUUGUGUGUCGUUGUGAUGUAAUUUCUUCGAGGGUGGUGUAUAUGGCGUGAGGUGAAUUUUUUGGUGAAGAAGAUGACCUCUUUUUCUAUUUCUGUCCUCCUCUAUAUAUAGAAAUAGCGUGUAAAAUAAAAGUGGAUAGGGGUUACGUGGGUAGGUAGGGUAGGAGGAUAUUCGGUGGUGAUGUGUUUUUUUUUAAUUGGAAAGGUUGU